rnacentral:lncRNA from 10 species
CGCGCUUGAGCGGACGCUGCCUACCGGUGGCCGGGCGGGAUGUAACCCGCUGCUGAGCUGGCAGCUCUGUGUCGCUAGGCUUCGGCCCGGCCGCCGCCGCACAUAAGCUGCGAGGAGGAGCUUUACGACUUCCCGGUCUUCGGGGCCGGGCGCAGCAAGGGCCAGACUCUGCGCUAGCAGGCGCUGCGCGCCAACCGGCCGGCACCUGUCGCAGAAGGUGCAACCGAUCGCACUGUCGCGCCGAAGCUCCUCAAUGGCCAGCGCCAGCUGCAGCCCCGGCCGCCCACUCGCCUCACCUGAGCCUGGGAGCUUGAAAAAUCACAUUUGAGAAGAGGAUUGGAUCCUAGCCAUAACAUAAAUAUAAGGGUGGAACCAAAGUUUUAAUCAAAGAAGGUGGUGUUCAGUUGCUGCUUACAAUAGUUGAUACCCCAGGAUUUGGAGAUGCAGUGGAUAACAGUAAUUGCUGGCAGCCUGUUAUCAAUUACAUUGAUAUUAAAUUUGAGGACUACCUAAAUGCAGAAUCGCGAGUGAACAGAUGUCAGAUGCCUGGUAACAGGGUGCAGUGUUGUUUAUACUUCAUUGCUCCUUCAGGACAUGGACCAUUACAUAACUGAAGACUCCCACCUUCAGGCAGGAUUGGGUAGUACGUGUUUGUAACUACCUGGCAUUGCCUUUUGUUGAGGAAGGGUAGAUGUCUACCCAAAUGGAAUAUUGAGUAUCAGAGACUUCAAAUGAUAACUUUUGUUUGUUUGGAGAAAAUCUUGAGGACGUGAUCACUGUACAAAAGCAUGGCAAAAUGAGGAAACCACUGACAGGUGAAGAAUUUGCACAAUGGAAAACCACCUUGACCAUCUCAUGACUUUAUACAGGAAUCGGAGACAUCCAAGGCCAUUCCAUUUCUAAAUCACACUUAUCCCUCAAUCAAGUCAGUGACUGGAUCAUCUCCUAAGGUUUCACCUGCUUUGCAUCAGUGAGUUGGACUAUGGAUCAGGUACUGUGCUCAGCAUCAGAAAAUGGGAUGACAAUGAACAGAGUAACAGGACUAUAUUUCUGAAAAAGGAUGAACUUACUGGAAACAGGAUUGCGUGCCUGAAAUAUAUCCAAAUGGAUAUAAAUGUCAACUCAGUUCUGGGCUGGAGAUAUAGAUUUGGAAUGCACCAACAAUGCAGAUGGUAAUCCUGGCAUGCGAGUAGGUGAGAUCAUCCAGGGAGAUGGCCUAUAAUGAGAGCCUACAACAUGUCAGGGCUCAAGCACCUCUUACUGCCUCCUCACUCUGGAACCAAAUGCCUUACUGUAAGUGGCAUCUAGAUCUUGCCAGUGACUUUCCUGUACAGGGCCUAAACUCAAUCUCUGGUUUUCUCAGCAUUUAAGGUACAUGGACAGGUGCACCUUGGCAGUUAAGAUUAUGUUGUAUUUUUCAUGCUCGAUUCCAUACACAUCAC